rnacentral:lncRNA from 1 species
UUUUAGAGCUGUUCCAAAAGAAAACCAAAUAGUUUAUGAUCAUCUAACCAAAACCUUGUUAGUUUAUUAUUUCUACAAGCCGAAACUACUCGAGGCAAUUUGGAAGAUUACGAAAAUUUGAACUGAAACAUAACACAAUAAGUUACAUCUUGUUUCUUGAGUUGUACAUUACAAUAUUUUCUAGAUGUUGUGAAAUUGAUUGGAGUUGGGACUGUUUUUGGAGACAAGGAUGUUGGUGUGAAGUCAAAUGUCUUGAUUAAGGAUCUCUUUGGAUUAAAUCCACAGUCUCUUAUAAAAAUGGUAUGUUUUUGGUGACGCGUGAUGUGAAUGUGACGGGUUCAUACUAAGAAAAAAUUAAGAAC